rnacentral:rRNA from 1 species
AGUGAACGCUGGCGGUAGGCCUAACACAUGCAAGUCGAACGGCAGCACAGGAGAGCUUGCUCUCUGGGUGGCGAGUGGCGGACGGGUGAGGAAUACAUCGGAAUCUACCUUUUCGUGGGGGAUAACGUAGGGAAACUUACGCUAAUACCGCAUACGACCUACGGGUGAAAGUGGGGGACCGCAAGGCCUCACGCGAUUAGAUGAGCCGAUGUCCAAUGAGCUAGUUGGCGGGGUAAUGGCCCACCAAGGCGACGAUCGGUAGCUGGUCUGAGAGGAUGAUCAGCCACACUGGAACUGAGACACGGUCCAGACUCCUACGGGAGGCAGCAGUGGGGAAUAUUGGACAAUGGGCGCAAGCCUGAUCCAGCCAUACCGCGUGGGUGAAGAAGGCCUUCGGGUUGUAAAGCCCUUUUGUUGGGAAAGAAAUCCUAUCGGUUAAUAACCGGUGGGGAUGACGGUACCCAAAGAAUAAGCACCGGCUAACUUCGUGCCAGCCGCCGCCGUAAUAC